AAAGAACUACAGUACAGGAAAUGGUUUAGUGAAAUCACUUUGACUAAGACAAGUGCACAUGCAUGAUGGACGAACACAUGAGCAGUGCUCUUGCCUCAGAUCGCACAGCUCAACUAUGGAUCGAGAUGCAUGGUUCGUGCACAGGGCCAGUGAUCUGAGCAGUCUUUUAAAAUCAAAGCUGAAAGAGAGGAACAUUAGCAACGCCGCUAAUCCCCCCC
rnacentral:lncRNA from 1 species